AUACUUUACUUUUUGAAAUCAUUAAAUUCCUUUAAUGUAAUCACAUUAAGAUGUAAAAUUAUAAUGAGCAUAUGUUAAACACUCGCGAGUUAAAAGUCUUUAAUCGUUUAUGUGUCACUCAUCAUUAGUAUCCGCUUACACCUUAAGUAGCAGUGUUGUUAACUUUCUCAUGUUUAAGAGAAAAUCUCAGAUUUCGCAAGGCUAUUUGUGAAAGGAGCUUAAUUAUUAUGGUGUAGUUUCAUGACUAAAAUAUAUAUGUAUAUUGCAAAUAGUUAAGCCAAAACAGGUGCUACCGAUUAUAUACGCAAAGCUAGUUUCAUUUUACAAUGUAUCCCCACUAUUUUACUGGGCAUCCAAUCCGCAAUGAAUCCUGUUUUGGUAUUGAAUAGUCAGCCAAUUAGAGCAAUGAAAAUUUCUAUGUCGAACCUCGCUAACGGAUCAAGCUGCGGCCUAGAGGUGUGCAGAAGUAGGACCCAUUAUUGUACAUAUGUAUGUAUCGAUUACCACCAUAGGAACAGAAAGUAUUCUUUCACAGACGAAACUCUCACAAAGAAAUUUAUACACCAUGAACUUAGCUUCAACGCUAUAUAUUUAAAUGAUGGCAAUUGUUUUAAGUUGUUUGAACUGCAAGAAAAGUAAUGGUUUCGAACCUAUUAAUACACACGUGAGAUCCAUAUAAAAUUAGUUUUAAACUUCUAAAAGCAAUGUAUAUAUAUUAAACAUUAUUUUCUAAAAUAA